rnacentral:rRNA from 1 species
GACGAACGCUGGCGGCGUGCUUAACACAUGCAAGUCGAGCGGUAAGGCCCUUUCGGGGUACGACGAGCGGCGAACGGGUGAGUAACACGUGGGUGACCUGCCCUCAGCUCUGGGAUAAGCCUGGGAAACUGGGUCUAAUACCGGAUAUGACUCCAUGACGCAUGUUGGUGGGGUGGAAAGCCUUGUGCGGCUGAGGAUGGGCCCGCGGCCUAUCAGCUUGUUGGUGGGGUGANGGCCUACCAAGGCGACGACGGGUAGCCGGCCUGAGAGGGCCGACCGGCCACACUGGGACUGAGACACGGCCCAGACUCCUACGGGAGGCAGCAGGUGGGGAAUCUUGCGCAAUGGGCGAAAGCCUGACGCAGCGACGCCGCGUGA